CGCUCGCCGGAAGACCAAGGGUUCCUGUCCAACGUUAAUCGGGGCAGGGUGAGUCGACCCCUAAGGCGAGGCCGAAAGGCGUAGUCGAUGGGAAACAGGUUAAUAUUCCUGUACUUGGUGUUACUGCGAAGGGGGGACGGAGAAGGCUAUGUUGGCCGGGCGACGGUUGUCCCGGUUUAAGCGUGUAGGCUGGUUUUCCAGGCAAAUCCGGAAAAUCAAGGCUGAGGCGUGAUGACGAGGCACUACGGUGCUGAAGCGACAAAUGCCCUGCUUCCAGGAAAAGCCUCUAAGCAUCAGGUAACAUCAAAUCGUACCCCAAACCGACACAGGUGGUCAGGUAGAGAAUACCAAGGCGCUUGAGAGAACUCGGGUGAAGGAACUAGGCAAAAUGGUGCCGUAACUUCGGGAGAAGGCACGCUGAUAUGUAGGUGAAGCGACUUGCUCGUGGAGCUGAAAUCAGUCGAAGAUACCAGCUGGCUGCAACUGUUUAUUAAAAACACAGCACUGUGCAAACACGAAAGUGGACGUAUACGGUGUGACGCCUGCCCGGUGCCGGAAGGUUAAUUGAUGGGGUUAGCGGUAACGCGAAGCUCUUGAUCGAAGCCCCGGUAAACGGCGGCCGUAACUAUAACGGUCCUAAGGUAGCGAAAUUCCUUGUCGGGUAAGUUCCGACCUGCACGAAUGGCGUAAUGAUGGCCAGGCUGUCUCCACCCGAGACUCAGUGAAAUUGAACUCGCUGUGAAGAUGCAGUGUACCCGCGGCAAGACGGAAAGACCCCGUGAACCUUUACUAUAGCUUGACACUGAACAUUGAGCCUUGAUGUGUAGGAUAGGUGGGAGGCUUUGAAGUGUGGACGCCAGUCUGCAUGGAGCCGACCUUGAAAUACCACCCUUUAAUGUUUGAUGUUCUAACGUGGGCCCCUUACCGGGGUUGCGGACAGUGUCUGGUGGGUAGUUUGACUGGGGCGGUCUCCUCCUAAAGAGUAACGGAGGAGCACGAAGGUUGGCUAAUCCUGGUCGGACAUCAGGAGGUUAGUGCAAUGGCAUAAGCCAGCUUGACUGCGAGCGUGACGGCGCGAGCAGGUGCGAAAGCAGGUCAUAGUGAUCCGGUGGUUCUGAAUGGAAGGGCCAUCGCUCAACGGAUAAAAGGUACUCCGGGGAUAACAGGCUGAUACCGCCCAAGAGUUCAUAUCGACGGCGGUGUUUGGCACCUCGAUGUCGGCUCAUCACAUCCUGGGGCUGAAGUAGGUCCCAAGGGUAUGGCUGUUCGCCAUUUAAAGUGGUACGCGAGCUGGGUUUAGAACGUCGUGAGACAGUUCGGUCCCUAUCUGCCGUGGGCGCUGGAGAACUGAGGGGGGCUGCUCCUAGUACGAGAGGACCGGAGUGGACGCAUCACUGGUGUUCGGGUUGUCAUGCCAAUGGCACUGCCCGGUAGCUAAAUGCGGAAGAGAUAAGUGCUGAAAGCAUCUAAGCACGAAACUUGCCCCGAGAUGAGUUCUCCCUGACUCCUUGAGAGUCCUGAAGGAACGUUGAAGACGACGACGUUGAUAGGCCGGGUGUGUAAGCGCAGCGAUGCGUUGAGCUAACCGGUACUAAUGAACCGUGAGGCUUAACCUU
rnacentral:rRNA from 1 species